AGGCCCGCUCUUAAUUUCACAUCCCUCCAAUUUAUCCCUAUCUUCAUUUUCUAUUUCCCCUAUUAUCAUCCAUUCAUUCAUUCAUUGAAACACAAACCCUAAUUUCUUUUUUCACCAUACGCAUCGUCGAUCCAGCAGCAGUUCAUACAACAAUGCUUCACAAACGAUUCAAGUCCACCAAAUGUAAACGGCGUAGAAGUUAGCUACAUCUCGGAUUAAAUUGAUGAAAAAUAAGAAAGGAGUACAGAUUAAUCAGAUGAAGAGGGAGCUGGCUCAGUUGCUUGAGACUGGCCAGGAACGUACCGAUCGAAUUCGAGUUGAACAUGUAAUUAGGGAAGAGAAGAUGGUGGCUACAUAUGAUUUGAUUGAGAUAUACUGUGAAUUUAUUGUAGGUAGAUUGCCAAUUAUCGAAUCCCAAAAAACUUGUCCCGUUGAUCUGAAGGAGGCCGUCACAAGUGUGAUAUGUGCAGCUCCUAGAUGUUCUGAUAUAUCUGAAUUUUAUGAUGUUCGAAAACAGUUUACUGCAAAUAUGGAAAAGAUUUUGUUUCUGCAGCGAUUGAGCUGCAUCCUGAUUGCGGUGUGAGUCGCAUGUGAAAAGGUGAAAACCAGCAGCGUAUACAUUCGGGACUCCACAAAUAUAUCGGAUUACGCUUUGCUAAUGUUUGGUGGUAAUCUAAUUCCAAGAAAGAAUGGAUAUGGCAUUAAGAUGCUCGAUGAGUAUCUUCAGUUUUCUGCGUCCAAGAGUGUGUUGGGAUUGAUAAAGGUACGUUUUUGCCUUAGAUGUAGCUAUAUGGGUGGGAUGAGUAACGGGUAAUAAUUGUUUGGUUCAAAAAUCAAAAUGGGUGAUUUUCCGUACGGGUAUGGCUCGAGUGGGAUUGGGUCAACCCACAAAACUUCGGGUUGUGUUCGGGUUCAUAUGUAUGAUAUGAUUUUCGGGUUCGGGUCGGGUUCGUGUUCGUGUAAAAUAUCGAGAACUUUUAAUGGUGUGAGGUGGCAGUUUUGACCCGUUUCAAUACAAAGGGGCCGGCUCAGAGUCGAGAUCACUUUUUAUUACUAAUGGGUCUAACAUAUAAGAGUGGAGGCAGUUUCUAUCAUGAAUAUUCUUCUUUUGAGAACUGAUGCUUAUACGGAAAGGGAGAAGUAAGUGUUUUAUUGUCUAUUGCUGUUUGCCAACAUCUGACAUGUUAUAACCUUUUUGAAGUUUGUUAUGUGAAUGUAGGUAUGGAGAGGUGUCGGUCUUUGAAAGUAUCCCUCAGCUAUUAAGAAAAGAAGCUGGGCUUGGUGUGCAAAAGCAACUCGUGCAUCUUCUCUACCUUCUCUUAAAUUGUAACCUAAUCUUUUCCCUCGUUGGGUGGUUGUGACUGACAAUUGUUACUUGUGCAGAUUAGUUAUGAUACAGGAAAAUUGGGCGAUUUGUUAGAAGCAUUGGUUGAUCUCUGUUGUCUUCAAAAUGUGAGUUUGUAAUUUUUUAUGCACCCGGUGAAACAAUUUUGGGCUUUAUGUUUUGUAGAUUGAAAAGUUGAAUUUAGUUAUCAAGUAGCUCGUUAAGGAAAAAGAUGAAGAAAAAGAAAGGUUCAAUGGAAUUACUGCGGGAUUGUUGGCUGAAAAAGAAAAAGAUAAGGUGGAUAAAGAUGCUAUGCUUGAUAGGAUGUCACAAAUUGAAGCUAUGUUAACACCUACAGUUCGAAGAUAGGCCAUAAACACUUGGUUUUGAAUGUUUAGAUGUUUAUCUUAUUAGGAUAAUUUUAGUUAUUUUAUGUUUUAGUUGGUAUUUUUUAUAUACUUUUGAAAACGAGAUGUUUUAUGUAAUUUUGGGAUUUUAUUA